GUUAUUAUAGCUUAGUGGUUUAGGCCUUAGGGUCAAACUUUUGUGAGUUCAAAUCUCGCUAAUAGCA
rnacentral:tRNA from 1 species